rnacentral:ncRNA from 1 species
GUUAUUUGAGGUGGUAAAAUUCGUGGCGACCACACGCCGAUGGUAUCGACAGGGGAAACCCGAGAGAUGUAGGAGAAAGCCACGCCUACCAAAUAAC